rnacentral:rRNA from 1 species
GACGAACGCUGGCGGCGUGCUUAACACAUGCAAGUCGAACGAAGUGGCGAACGGGUGAGUAACGCGUAAUCAACCUGCCCUUCAGAGGGGGACAACAGUUGGAAACGACUGCUAAUACCGCAUACUGAAGGAGGGGAGUGCGUCGGAUUAGCUAGUGGGCGGGGUAACGGCCCACCAGGGCGAGGAUCAGUAGACGGUCUGAGAGGAUGAGCGGCCACAUUGGGACUGAUACACGGCCCAGACGCCCACGGGAGGCAGCAGUGGGGAAUCUGCCGCAAUGGACGAAAGUCUGACGGAGCAACGCCGCGUGAGUGAUGACGGCCUUCGGGUUGUAAAGCUCUGUUAAUCGGGACGCGGUACCGGAAGAGAAAGCCACGGCUAACUACGUGCCAGCAGCCGCGGUAAUUC